rnacentral:rRNA from 1 species
UACAGAGGUCUCAAGCGUUGUUCGGAUUCAUUGGGCGUAAAGGGUGCGUAGGCGGCGCGGUAAGUCGGGUGUGAAAUCUCGGAGCUUAACUCCGAAACUGCAUUCGAUACUGCCGUGCUUGAGGACUGGAGAGGAGACUGGAAUUUACGGUGUAGCGGUGAAAUGCGUAGAUAUCGUAAGGAACACCGGUGGCGAAGGCGGGACUCUGGGCCGAUACUGACGCUGAGGAGCGAAAGCGUGGGGAGCAAACAGG